GGCCGGUGAUGGAAAUCAAUAUUUGCUACUCUUGAUGGGAAAAAUACCCAUUUGAUGAUAUUUAUCCACCAAGAUCUCUGAGGCU